AAAAUCCAAGUGCACAGCCUGAGGUCAUCAACAAAGUUUCCAAACAGAGUGGGAAGAAAUAGACAGGAAACAAAGACAGAAUAGAAGGAGCAAUUUAAGUGCCAGGAUUCAAAACCAAGUUGAAAGUGAGUGGCAGAAGGUCAAGUCAAAAGUAUUAGGCAUAUGUCAGUGCACAGUUACUAGGAGAGAGCAGGCUUCUGUAAAACCAGGGAAGCACAAUAGGAUUCUGAUGAAGAUCGGAGACAGAGAUCAACUGCCAUGGCCUUUAUACACAAUAUGGUUACAGUCCUGAUGUUGGUUGUGCUGCAUUGUCAUCUGGUGGCUCACUUGGGAGAGAAAAACUGUUCCCAGUCUCAUUAAUCCUAUAUGAAUAGAAAUACAAGGAAAACAUGAUUUAACAGUAGGGAAACAUAAAGAAGAUACAACAAUUUUAUUUCUCCUGGUGAUGUUUCUUUGCAAGUGGCUUUGGUCAAAGAGAAGAUGGAAUCUCACUCUGUUGCCAGGCUGGAGUGCAGCAGCGCGAUCUCGGCUCACUGCCACCUCUGCCUCCCGGGUU
rnacentral:lncRNA from 1 species